GUUACCUGUUCCAACUUGACGCCGUACGGAUCCUGCCCAACCGUUGAGCAACAAAACACAGGAGACUCACUCCACGCGUGGAAUGAGAGAACCAGUCUGACGGCAUGCACAGUGGGCGUUUUGCUGCUGUUUCUCCUCUUAACAAGAGGCCCUCAGAGAAGAGUCAGCAGCUGUCAAACUUCCCCUCCCGUCCCAUGAAACUGAUCCGGAGCGCCACACAUGUUGCUGCUGCCGCUGUCAGAAUCACCAAAUCUACUGCAGCAGCUUGUAUUUAUUAAAGAAAAAAUACUCAGAUACGAUGAAGAUUUGGACAGUCCACAUGGAGGCAGUAACGCAUUAGUUCAGAGAAAAUGUUUUCAUGUUCAGUGUUUUACAUGUGCAGACCAGCUGCAGAGAAUCACAAAACAUUAUUUUCUGUUUGUAACUAAGGCUUGAUUCAUUAUCAACCUGAGGUUCAGAUCCAGUUACAGAAAAACCAGCUUGGCUCAGUUCAGAUUAGUUCAAUUCAUUUAAUUAAAAUCAAUCAACUCCCCAGAUCCAAUUGCAUGUUUUUAAGUUUAAGUUUGAAUUUACUCUGGACUCGUUUAUAGAUUUAUAUUCACAUUUGUUCUUUAUUCAAUUUUUGUUCAUUUUAUUUGACACUUUCAUUACAAAUUUUAUAUCACAAAUGCUUAUAUUUAUGUUUAGUAUUCAACACUUUGAAUAGGUUGUCAACAAAUAAGCAAUUUCCCUUUAUCAGUUUAACCCUAGUUUAAUAAGAUAAGAUAAUAAUACUUUAUUGAUCCCUUAAGGGGGGAAAUAUUAUUAAUUCAAUGUGUUUUAGUAUUUAGUUCAAUUACAAUUCAGUCAAACUUAAUCAUUUAUUACAAAAGUUAUAUAACUUUAACAAAACUUAAGAAUCAAGUAGAGAAUAUAAAAAAUAUCUAAAAACAACAUAAACAUCUGCAUAUUAAUAAAGUAUCAACAGAUGAAAUACAAAUAAAAUCAAACAGAAACAGAAUAAGGUUAUAUA